rnacentral:rRNA from 1 species
GAUGAACGCUGGCGGCGUGCCUAAUACAUGCAAGUCGAGCGAACAGACGAGGAGCUUGCUCCUUUGACGUUAGCGGCGGACGGGUGAGUAACACGUAGGUAACCUACCUAUAAGACUGGGAUAACUUCGGGAACCGGAGCUAAUACCGGAUAAUAUUUCGAACCGCAUGGUUCGAUAGUGAAAGAUGGCUUUGCUAUCACUUAUAGAUGGACCUGCGCCGUAUUAGCUAGUUGGUAAGGUAACGGCUUACCAAGGCAACGAUACGUAGCCGACCUGAGAGGGUGAUCGGCCACACUGGAACUGAGACACGGUCCAGACUCCUACGGGAGGCAGCAGUAGGGAAUCUUCCGCAAUGGGCGAAAGCCUGACGGAGCAACGCCGCGUGAGUGAUGAAGGUCUUCGGAUCGUAAAACUCUGUUAUUAGUGAAGAACAAACGUGUAAGUAACUGUGCACGUCUUGACGGUACCUAAUCAGAAAGCCACGGCUAACUACGUG